GCGCUACUGCGUGUGUAACGCGCCGCUGCUGCGCCAGUUCCGCAACCCGGACACCAUCUUCAUCCUGGCCUUCGCCGUCAUCCUCCUCAACACCGACAUGUACAGCCCCAGCGUGAAGGCCGAGCGCAAGAUGAAGCUGGAGGACUUCAUCAAGAACCUGCGGGGGGUGGACAACGGCGAGGACAUCCCGCGGGACAUGCUGGUGGGCAUCUACCAGCGCAUCCAGAGCCGCGAGCUGCGCACCAACGACGACCACGUGUCCCAGGUCCAGGCCGUG